UUAACCAGGAAUAAAAGCAGUUUCCUUUUCGGAAUUUGUGUGUGUACUGUGGGCGUACCAGUGUCGCUAACGAAUUCGCGAGGGAAACUGCGAAGUCGCUGGCUCUAAAUCAGUCGUGGCUGACUAAUGUUAAGUAGUAAAGGCAUUACAAUUUAAGUGGCCGCUAAUAGCUUCCUUAUUGUUUCAUCGGGACUGCUAUUCCUCCUGCUUCAUUAAAAAAUGAAUAUGGCAUCGUUCUUCUGUGCCGUUAUGUGCCUUGCUACGUUAAUCGUUGGGCAAUCAGCAGGACAUACUACAACCGUCGACUGGAGCUGGACAGACAUGCCCAGCACCAGAUUCGUUGCCACAGAUUCCAUUGUGACCUCUUGGUGUAAUGCCUACAGCUCUAGAUCCACGGCGCGGGGACAGAUUGCUGGUGAAAUCCAAAACAACCUGAAACGCAGCGAGAAUGGCUACGACUGGCAAGUGGUGGUGGCAGAAGCAUUCGGCGCUCAGCUUUGUUGAUGGGGGUGUCGCAUAACUUCGCGCCAGCUGCGCCAGUACCAUUCUACAUCGGAAUGAGAGUUGCUAGAUUCGGUGUUAAAACUUGAAGUCGUCAGAUUCCCCAUCUUGGACACUGUUUUCCGCGGACGCUUCAUCCCAGUCCUGCAUGGCGCGCCACAAGGCGCACAAGCAGAAACGGUUCAGUUUGCCCACGUCGACAUCGGCUAGACUGUCCAUCCCCCACUGGCGUUUGCGAUACUGGGCUGAUGGACGCGGAUUGCUGGACUGGUAGUCUUCUAGAAUCUGCAGAGAACAUUAGAUGGCAAUGCGUUUCUCGUCCAACGGUGGCACCGCCCACUUCAGAUGCUGCUCGAACAAAUCGACAAUCUGCGCCUCAUCGACAGGUCCCGGUGUGAGAAUACGGAACGUCAUUAAGGUUGUUUCCUUCUUAUAUGUCGGUACCCGACCGAAAAAUCCGGACGUCCGGCGGACAUUUUGGUUGGUUACCUCCACUACUGUCAGGAAGAAAUCCUUGAAAAUGAAACGAUCACAGCAUGACCCUAGUCUGGAUGUUUGCGCGGUGAUCUCCAUGAAAAACACGCCCAAUUUCCAGUAAACAAAAGCGUGCGCGUCCAGCUGAACACGAUCAAGCGGUCGAUGCAAAGGCCGGCGUCGUCCAAGACCUGCUUAAUCACAUCCAGCACUUCAUCGGCACCAUUCGAAAUCCUCCAGCUGUCAAUAUGACGUUUCGUUGUCGCGAAUGGUGUGCAGAUGGUGCGGGUGGCGGAGGUCAUGUGUUUGAGGAUGGAGGCGUACAUGGCGGAAUUGCAGUCCCACUUCACUGGCAGCGAAGAACUCUCCUUCUGCCGUGAUAGACGCACAUCGCGGCACAACUCAGUCGAUGUGAGAAUCGUUUCCCACAUUUGACAGGUGCGACGACAGCGCUGACGGUCGACGGUGUCCAGUGACUGGAAGACCUCCUCAACACUUGCAACGCCACUGCCAAACCGGCGUUACGGAAACCUAGCGUUUUUUUCCGAUUUAGCUGCCCGCCGCUUCUUCUUUCUCCAGGGGUCUGGGAACCCAUGAGUAGGCCGCUAAUGUUAUAAUUACAGUUUUACGCGGUAUUUCACAAUUUCUUAUGGGUAUAUUUGCAAGCAAGUCCCGGAUAGUUUCCCCAGUGCACCGCGGACGGCAUAUCGACAGCACCGAUCAGCAUAUGUACUGGUACAUUGAACUACAUAACGUAUUGACCAGAAACUGGUAUAUAUUAAGUUAAUACCAAGUUUAAUAUGCACUGACACAUCGGCGGGCACGCGCAGAACAAAAACACAGGAAAUCAAACAAAAGAGUA